CACAUAUGUAGGCACCUUUACGGCACUUGAUAAAGCUCAGGCCAACAUGAAACAUUUUUGUGGGGCUGGCAGAUAUCGGAGCCGUGUGCCCGGCCGAGCACCCCGGGGUUCAUACCGGGGUUACCGAGGCCACAUACAGUCCAGGUUUACAACACCUAAACCCAGAACUACCACACCGUUCUUCCCAGUCCGGGGCAGACCAUGGCAGUCUCGGGGACCCAGAGGUUCUUCCUAUGGCCGACGACCUUAUGGUAAGUU